UACGUAGGGGGCAAGCGUUGUCCGGAAUCAUUGGGCGUAGAGCGCGUGUAGGCGGCCCGAUAAGUCCGCUGUGAAAGUCCAGGGCUCAACCCUGGGAUGCCGGUGGAUACUGUCGGGCUCGAGUCCGGAAGAGGCGAGUGGAAUUCCUGGUGUAGCGGUGAAAUGCGCAGAUAUCAGGAGGAACACCGAUGGCGAAGGCAGCUCGCUGGGACGUGACUGACGCUCAGGCGCGAAAGCUAGGGGAGCAAACAGG
rnacentral:rRNA from 1 species